CUUACACCUAGAGGCUCUCGCUCUACGGCCGGAACCUUGUUGCUAGGGACCGGGCGGUUUGCGGCAACCGUGGGCACUGCUGAAUUUGAAUUGAGGGGCGAGGGAAAAGUUUUCCUCAGGUGUGGUGGGGAGAGGGAGGCGGAUGCCGGGAAACCGUAGGGACGCGGUCAGAAAGGCGACGGGCUGUCGGAGUUGGAAAGGGACGCCUGGUUUCCCCCCAAGCGAACCGGGAUGGGAAGUGACUUCAAUGAGAUUGAACUUCAGCUGGAUUGAAAGAGAGGCUAGAAGUUCCGCUUGCCAGCAGCCUCCUUAGUAGAGCGGAAUGAGUAAUACCCACACGGUGCUUGUCUCACUUCCCCAUCCGCACCCGGCCCUCACCUGCUGUCACCUCGGCCUCCCACACCCGGUCCGCGCUCCCCGCCCUCUUCCUCGCGUAGAACCGUGGGAUCCUAGGUGGCAGGACUCAGAGCUAAGGUAUCCACAGGCCAUGAAUUCCUUCCUAAAUGAGCGGUCAUCGCCGUGCAGGACCUUAAGGCAAGAAGCAUCGGCUGACAGAUGUGAUCUCUGAACCUGAUAGAUUGCUGAUUUUAUCUUAUUUUAUCCUUGACUUGGUACAAGUUUUGGGAUUUCUGAAAAGACCAUACAGAUAACCACAAAUAUCAAGAAAGUCGUCUUCAGUAUUAAGUAGAAUUUAGAUUUAGGUUUCCUUCCUGCUUCCCACCUCCUUCGAAUAAGGAAACGUCUUUGGGACCAACUUUAUGGAAUAAAUAAGCUGAGCUGUAUUUCAAGUAAUAUAGUUAUAAAUUAACAAUGUAGCAGUUAUUGAUAGAGAAAUUGAGAAAACUGAAACGUGACCGGAGUAUUGGAAAUAACGUAGUACAUCACCUAGCACAAUGACACAUAGUAGGUGCUCAAUAAAUUUAUGCUUAUAAUUUUUGUCACUUCUAUGGCAGGAUUUUUUUAUUAGGUUAAAAUUAUCUUUUAAACACCUUCCGGAAUUUUAGAAUAUUCAUUAAUAAUGUCUUCAAACCUUUCAACUGAAAUAAAUUUACAGCUGAAGUCUGAUGAUUUAAAGUUAGAAAGUUUAAUCUUGAAUAUAAAUGAACAUUUUCUCUCCCACAUUUUCUUGGGCAUUUUGAGAAGUAAAUGCGUUAUUUAUUGGUCCAUGAAAUGUGACUGUAAAUAUUCUUUGCUAUACAUUAUGUCUAUAUAUCUGCAUUCAUCCUCAAUGCCAAAACUAGAAUCAUUAGUCUUAAUGAUCAUUUUAAGUACAGGCAGUCCUCGCUUUCCUUGAUACCAUGUUAACCGAAACUUGUGUAUGUCAACACGGUGUCCUUGCUUUGCUUGGUUAAGUGUGAGUUCUUCCUCCCUUUUUUUAAGAGUUGUACAAUGUUUUUCAGUCGCCUACCGAAUCAGGUCAUAGACUAUGGAAUUGACCCCACCCCACCAACAUUUUUACAGCUACCCUGAUUUCUGACCAGAAAGGAAAAAAAAACUUUCCAGCUCUAUCACACAUUUUACCUACUCUUAAACUUAGGAGGUAUUACAAAUAGCAUUUUCUCAUGUUCUCUUUCUGGCCUGUACCUCCCUGCUAAGCUUCCUUCAGUGUUCAUCCUCACCUCAUAGAGAGAUGAAGUGAAGAGACAAACAGAAGUCAUUUUCUUCCUUACUUUAGUGGUUUCUGGUUUAGUUAGUUUGGGCCAAACUGUGGACAAGUACCUUUUCAGGUAACUUUUUUUUCUUAUUUCUAUGUCCUCAACACCUAGUGGAGUACGUAGCCAAUAGUAGAUGCUUAAUAAACAUUUCUUAAAUUAAUAUUGUUGACCUUUUCUGACCCUGUUCUUGACAGUAAGGUACAUAAUCUGCCUUCAUCCCUUUAGUCCUUAGGAACAGAUAAAGUCAUGGAUAUGAAAGUGAUCACUGUCAUUAAUAUCCACAUUAAAAUUGCUCUUGAUUUUAGUUUCUCCAUAAUCAUUUUCCCUAAACAAUGAACUCUGUUCACCUUUUUUUUUAAAAUAUGCACAGUGAAUAUUACUGGUAGCCCAAAUCUUCUAACAUAAAAUUUCCAUUUUGUAAAAGCUUCUGAUAAGCAUAUAUGUUAUGAAUUGAAUGUUUGAUUAUUAUACUUUAAUAUUCUUGAAAAUAUUGAUACCUGGACUGGAAAGAAAACAGACAAAAGUAAAUCUCAGAAUAAAUUACUGCUUUAAACAUGAAAAAAAAAAAAAAAAAAAA
rnacentral:lncRNA from 1 species